CCCUUAGAUGUUCUGGGCUGCACGCGCGCUACACUGAUGCGUUCAACGAGUGUACAUCCUUGCCCGGUAGGGUUGGGUAAUCUUCUGAACACGCAUCGUGAUGGGGAUAGAUUAUUGCAAUUAUUAAUCUUCAACGAGGAAUUCCUAGUAAUGGUGAAUCAUCAGUUCAUCGUGAUUACGUCCCUGCCCUUGUACACACCGCCCGUCGCACCUACCGAUUGAAUGGUCCGGUGAAAUCUUGGGAUUUUGUUUUGUUUGCAUUUAUUUGUAUCGAGACGAGAGAACUUGAGUAAACCUUACCAUUUAGAGGAAGGUGAAGUCGUAACA
rnacentral:rRNA from 1 species